rnacentral:rRNA from 1 species
GGAGUCUAGCAUGUGCGCGAGUCAUUGGGACAGACUAGCUAAACCUAAAGGCGCAAUGAAAGUGAAGGCGCGCCUCGCGCGCGCCUAGGGAGGAUGGGCGACCUCUACGAUCGCCUCGCACUCCCGGGGCGUCUCGUUCUCAUUGCGUAGAAGAGGCGCACCCAGAGCGUACACGCUGGGACCCGAAAGAUGGUGAACUAUGCCUGGUCAGGACGAAGUCAGGGGAAACCCUGAUGGAGGUCCGUAGCGAUUCUGACGUGCAAAUCGAUCGUCGGAACUGGGUAUAGGGGCGAAAGACUAAUCGAACCAUCUAGUAGCUGGUUCCCUCCGAAGUUUCCCUCAGGAUAGCUGGCGCUCGAGCGCAAGGGAACCUUUUGAAAUUGAGUCUCAUCCGGUAAAGCGAAUGAUUAGAGGCAUUGGGGUCGAAACGGCCUCAACCUAUUCUCAAACUUUAAAUGGGUGAGAUCUCCGGCUUGCUUAAACGGGGAUGCGCGCGCGCGGACUCGUCCGCGCGUCCUCCUCACGCACGUGAAGCCGCGAGAUCGGAUCAGAGUGCCAAGUGGGCCAUUUUUGGUAAGCAGAACUGGCGCUGUGGGAUGAACCAAACGUGAAGUUAAAGCGCCUCAAUC